UACAGAGGGUGCGAGCGUUAAUCGGAGUUACUGGGCGUAAAGGGCGCGUAGGCGGUAAGACGUGUGUGAUGUGAAAGCCCCGGGCUUAACCUGGGAAGUGCAUCGCAAACUGUCUAACUAGAGUCGAUGAGAGGGUGGUGGAAUUUCCGGUGUAGCGGUGAAAUGCGUAGAGAUCGGAAGGAACGUCAAUGGCGAAGGCAGCCACCUGGCAUCAGACUGACGCUGAGGCGCGAAAGCGUGGGGAGCGAACAGGAUUAGAUACCCUGGUAGUCCACGCUGUAAACGAUGAGAACUAAAUGUUGGUUGGGGAACCAAUCGGUAUUGAAGCUAACGCGAUAAGUUCUCCGCCUGGGAAGUACGGCCGCAAGGUUGAA
rnacentral:rRNA from 1 species